GCGUGAGCUGCUUGUGAUGGCAUUAGUCGAACCUAGACCGCGUGCGUCGGAAACAAUGAAUUAUAGCAGCGAAUUCGUCACUGAAGAGGCUGUUUCUUGGCUACAGUCGCAUGGAAUGAGACUUAAGAAAGGAAAGGUAGGCAAAAGAAAUUUCUUAACAACGUAUUUUACUGCAACUUUACAUUCACAAACUUGACCGCUCCAUUGAUCUUUGUUCGUAUCUUAUCUUGCAGAAAAAGACGGUUGCGAUGGCCAAGAUCUCCUUGCCAUCGCCCAAGAUGCAGACGUACCAAGGCACUACAUCCCUAUUAUAAAAGAGCGUCUAAAGCUCAAGAAAUUGAUUGCAAUGAACGCUGAACCUAGAGAUGACACGAGUUCUUCGUCGCGUGCAGAAUCAAGUCCUUCGAGUAAGACGGUUCAAACGUCGAUUGAUGAUUCAGAUAACAUCAGCGAUUAUGAAAAUUUAGAGGUGACAUUGGCACCGAAAGAAAAGGGUAAAUCGCCCAAGGAUCUCUGUUUUACGGACGAGGCGACAGAACUGAGCACUGUCUAAGUUCCUCCUGAAUGGCUUUCAAAAUUCCAACUACCAUCGAGGUUCUCUGCCUCAGUAGAGUUGGAUACCCAGAAGGGAUAUCUCAUCAGCAGCCUAAAGUACUCUGAGCAACAGUGGAUUGCAAAAAAAAAUUAUUGCAGAGUAUCCUUGUAUGGUUAGCAGGAUACUAGACUAAGUUGACUUGGAAACUGAAUGGAUUGGUAUGGUCUAAAAAUCUAUUGCUUCACCUCUUCUGCUUGCAGUGAAGAGAGACAAUUUUGUGGUGCUGAAUCUCUUGCCUUAAACUAAAAAGUUGCAAAAUAAUCACUCUCACCUUUUAAGUUCAUGACCUUUGUUCUUGUGUGUUUGUCAUCACAUGCAUUUAAUGAAGUUGUGACCAUUUUGGAGGUACAAGUCCAAAAAACUGCUACUUUGGUACUAAGAUGAACAGCUAAAAUUUCUGAGCCCAUUUGCCAAUGAAGUCCAGAUACAAAGGUUCAAGUACUUUGGGGUUGUAUUAAUUUUGCCUUUUUGUUUAGUUUUUUUGAUUUUGCAAUUUUUUAAAAUAUUCCUGUUGUCAAACCAUUAGAUAAAUAUUGGACAUAGAAUAGCUGAUUUUUUUCAGAUAUUUUGGGAGUCAUACAUUAGUUUUUCAAGUCUUGAAUGGGAGACAAA